rnacentral:rRNA from 1 species
ACACUCCUGCGGGAGGCAGCAGUGGGGAAUUUUGGACAAUGGGCGAAAGCCUGAUCCAGCAAUGCCGCGUGAGUGAAGAAGGCCUUCGGGUUGUAAAGCUCUUUUGUCAGGGAAGAAACGGUGAAAGCUAAUAUCUUUUGCUAAUGACGGUACCUGAAGACUAAGCACCGGCUAACUACGUGCCAGCAGCCGCGGUAAUACGUAGGGUGCAAGCGUUAAUCGGAAUUACUGGGCGUAAAGCGUGCGCAGGCGGUUUUGUAAGUCUGAUGUGAAAUCCCCGGGCUCAACCUGGGAAUUGCAUUGGAGACUGCAAGGCUAGAAUCUGGCAGAGGGGGGUAGAAUUCCACGUGUAGCAGUGAAAUGCGUAGAUAUGUGGAGGAACACCGAUGGCGAAGGCAGCCCCCUGGGUCAAGAUUGGCGCUCAUGCACGAAAGCGUGGGGAGCAAACAGGAUUAGAAACCCCAGGAGUCCC